GAAAAUGCGUGGAAAGAGAGUAGUAAGCUGAACCCUACCAACCAGGGACGAGAUGCCAGCGACUGAAAGCACCUCGAUGGAAAGGACAGCUGAAUUCGCUCUGGAGCAGGCACUGGAACACAAGCGCAUAGCUUGUUAAGGUGAUCCCGGCAACAGCCGUUAUGGAAAUGAAGAGGAUGCACUCAGUUUGUGCAUCAAUUAGGGUGGUAUCGCGAAACCUUCGUCCCUUGU
rnacentral:ncRNA from 1 species